rnacentral:lncRNA from 1 species
UGCACUUCACAUCAGAGAAGGUACGCUGCUAUUUUACUGACCCUAACUAUAUCGUUGAAGAAUCUAAGCAGGUCAGAAAAUGACGCAACCGCAACCAGAGGAAGGAAAUCAUCAAGGAUGGAUGGGCAGACUAUGAAGGAGAAGUGGUCAGGUCAGAAGACGUACAUUUUAAACAGAAUUAUCCUGAGGAGACCGAAGCACCAAGUCAGGUAUGGAGAGAGAAGAUAACUAUACAUGAAGAGGAGGCGCUGCCGGAAGUACCGAGUACGCCACCCAACGAAUCCCAGGACAAUUGAGAAAACGGAGAGUCCCGUUUGGAGGACUUAAAAACACCGAACGUCUUGCCAAGAGGUAAACUUAGUAGUUAUCCUUUUUCCUUCCAAUUAUUUUAAAAUAGUUUACUUAGUUAAUCAUGUUCAUACUAUCCUAAAAAGAAAAUAAAAUGUUAAAAACAGUAAGCCCCAUGUGAGUAUACGAGUGGCAUGAAACCCAUAAGUACAUUCACUGUGGUGGCAUAAAAAUAAAAUAAAUAUUUCUUUUCUGCUUUAUAAAAUGGAAAUAUAAAAAUAGAGAAUAAGAUUGAGGAGACUCAACAUGAUAAAGCCUAGAUAUUUAUGCUAACACUUAAUCAGUUCCAUAAAGCUUUCUUGUCUAUUUGAGCUCCACAGAAUUUAAGAAUUAAGAAGACUAGCAGACGGAGGACAUUCUAAUCGCUGUCAAGAUACUGCCGACUUUCAAAUACACCUUUGCCACCUGCUGGCUACAUCAAUAGAAAUUACGUCAAAAUUCAGC